rnacentral:rRNA from 1 species
UACAGAGGGUGCGAGCGUUAAUCGGAGUUACUGGGCGUAAAGGGCGCGUAGGCGGUUGUAUUAGUGUGAUGUGAAAGCCCUGGGCUUAACCUAGGAAGCGCAUUGCAAACGGUAUAACUAGAGUAUAAGAGAGGGUGGUGGAAUUUCCGGUGUAGCGGUGAAAUGCGUAGAGAUCGGAAGGAACGUCAAUGGCGAAGGCAGCCACCUGGCUUAAUACUGACGCUGAGGCGCGAAAGCGUGGGGAGCAAACAGG